rnacentral:rRNA from 1 species
AGACCGCGAGGUAGGAGGCAAAUCUCAAAAAAACAAUCUCAGUUCAGACUGCAGGCUGCAACUCGCCUGCACGAAGUCGGAAUUGCUAGUAAUCGUAGGUCAGCAUACUACGGUGAAUACGUUCCCGGGCCUUGUACACACCGCCCGUCAAACCAUGAGAGUUGGCAACACCCGAAGUCGGUAGUCUAACCGCAAGGGAGGACGCCGCCGAAGGUGGGGUUGAUGAUUAGGGUUAAGUCGUAACAAGGUAGC